GACGGGACAGAGCACACACCAGACCCAGCUGCAUUAGUCCCCCACGGGUCCUGCUGGACAGCUGCACAGCCCCACGCAGAAAUGACUGAUUCACGAUCAGCAGAAGGCCUAUAGCCCCCCUUGCAAAUACUGCCAACACUCAAACCCGUUUGUCUGGUUUGCUGGUUAAUUAGCAAGAGUGCCGCAGACCUUAAGACUGCACCCCUAGCUUUAAAACAGUCUGCAGAAGUGAAAAACAGUGGCAACACUACAUGGUAGCAGUUUUCUAGUAUUUCAGCUACCUACAGCUUUUGUAUUUUUCCUUUAAAUCAACAAAGGAAUAUCAAGUAUUUCUUAGUGCUACACAAAGUUCUGAGCUGAAUUGGCUGUCCUGUGUUUAAAUUGCAGAAUUACAUUCAGCUGCUCAGCAUGAUGGAGAAGUUGUACUACAGGAGCAGUUCACCAGAAAGUGAGACAAGAGAUGGGUUCUACACUUUCUGGAAGACACAGCCCAUGGGCCUGGUGUUCAGUCAGUGAAGGUCUUUAAGCCCCUGCUGAAAUUCAGCUUUGACUCACCUCGUCAGAUGACUGGGAGAGUGUCUGGUACGGGUGCGAGGAUUUGGAA